rnacentral:lncRNA from 1 species
GAAGAGAGGAUAAGCCUUUGGCUUUUUAGUGUCCAAGGGACAGAACCAUGUGGUAUUUGUCUCAGAUCCUCACUGUAAGCUCAGAGUCUGAUAAAGAGCAGCUGUUGAAUAGGAAUUCAUUGAAUGACAGUAGCCAGGGUGGAUAAAAUUUGGAGAAGUGUUUUUAUAGUUGUUUAAGGUGGGACAAAUUUAAAGAUGUGAUUUAUAGAAGAGGAGUAAAUGGAGAGGAAGAGGUUAAGGACAUUAAGGAUGAAGGGGAAAGGGGAGUGUUUGCUGCCAAGGACCCAUAGGAAAUGGGAGGCAAUGGCAUCUACAAAGCCACUGGAAGGUUGCUUUCUCCCACUUUCUUACUUGCAUCUGAUGCUCUUCCCAUUUCACAGGGAAAACAGAAAUGACUAGAAGAGCCCUUGCUCAGACCCACAUCCCCGAGUCUCUCAAUGGUCAGCACCAGUGCUCACAUUUCUGUGUCCUCCUAUUCCUAAGGAUGAACUGGCUGUCAUCCUAUUAAGGUCACCUCUCCACAGGCACGCGGGUAUCAUUCCCUCUCCCCUUCACAGAGACUUCACUCCAGUACUUCUUGCCUCCUCUUCUGCUUCAUCAGUUUUCCUCUUCAAUGGUAUCAUUGCCAUCAGCAUACACACAUGCUUUUAAUUCUCUUAACGGGGCAAAAAGACAAAAACUAAACCUCUGCCUAAUUCUCACCCAGUUUUCUGUUUCUCCUCACUGCGAAACUCCUGGAGACAUUUUCCUUCACUCUCUCCAAUAAUGUAUUUAUGAAUUUUAUUUGUUUGUUUACCUAGAUUUUUUAAUCAGGAUGCUGAAAUGUGAAAGUCAUCCUAUAUGUUCCAGCUGACAGUUUACAAUGUGACGGAAAGGCAAGGAUAAACAUGAUUACUCUUCUUGAAAAUUCACUUCGUUUAGAAGGAGAGAACCACGAACACCUGCUCUCUGUUUAUCCAGAAUUCUGAAGGGAACUCAGUUUACCAAAGCAGCAUGGUGCACUCGGUCUGUUUGGGCCAGAGGCUCACUCUAAGAGCUAGGACACGUCAAGCUGCGAUGGGAACAGCCUCAGGCAGGGUUGACCAAGCAGAGUGCAGCCUCCCUGGGUCCUCUGCUGGUGUUGAGUUUCCUUGCUCUAUAACCAGACCCAUCAGGAUGGAGAUCACGUGCUGGGCCCCUCUGCCUACAGAGAGGAAUAUUCCUGCCCGUGUCUAUGUUCUCCCCUGUAUUCAGAGGCUGGAAGUCUGAAAACUGCGUUUCCGGGCUUACCAGCAGGAUAGUAACUGCGAUUCCACCGCUGAGUGGUGCGACUCGGGCCCUGGAAGCAGGAGGAUCCACAGCAGCCUUCUUGUUCUGUCAGUAGCAGGCAGGUAUGUGAGCUCCAACAGCCAAGGACAGGAAGCCGCAGCCUUCGAGGAUGUGCCAGCGAAUCCCUGCGUCGGUCCUGCAGGGGGCUCAGGCCACCGCCAUCUGUUCUUCCACUUCCC